rnacentral:rRNA from 1 species
GAUGAACGCUAGCGGCAGGCCUAACACAUGCAAGUCGAGCGGAUGAGUGGAGCUUGCUCCAUGAUUCAGCGGCGGACGGGUGAGUAAUGCCUAGGAAUCUGCCUGGUAGUGGGGGACAACGUUUCGAAAGGAACGCUAAUACCGCAUACGUCCUACGGGAGAAAGUGGGGGAUCUUCGGACCUCACGCUAUCAGAUGAGCCUAGGUCGGAUUAGCUAGUUGGUGAGGUAAAGGCUCACCAAGGCGACGAUCCGUAACUGGUCUGAGAGGAUGAUCAGUCACACUGGAACUGAGACACGGUCCAGACUCCUACGGGAGGCAGCAGUGGGGAAUAUUGGACAAUGGGCGAAAGCCUGAUCCAGCCAUGCCGCGUGUGUGAAGAAGGUCUUCGGAUUGUAAAGCACUUUAAGUUGGGAGGAAGGGCAGUAAGUUAAUACCUUGCUGUUUUGACGUUACCAACAGAAUAAGCACCGGCUAACUUCGUGCCAGCAGCCGCAGUAACAC